rnacentral:lncRNA from 1 species
GAAGAGGGGCAUCCGGUGGAUCAAGUUGUUUGACAGGUAGAGAUAACUCAUACUGUUGAGUUCGAAUUAGCGCACUUAUGGAGUGCUGUCCAGCAAGCUGCCGAGGCAUGUUGCGAACGAAAGAGGAAUCAAGGUUGAUCCUGAAAAAAAAAAAAGGAACAGUACUAGAAACGCCUGAACCAUAAACAAACGAAAAAAGAAAGAAAUCAAAUGGUCAGAUGGAAUGAGGACUGCCAAGGGGCAUGGAAAGAAAAAAAAAAAGGAGUAGUA